rnacentral:rRNA from 1 species
AUUGAACGCUGGCGGCAUGCUUUACACAUGCAAGUCGAACGGCAGCGCGGGCUUCGGCCUGGCGGCGAGUGGCGAACGGGUGAGUAAUGCAUCGGAACGUGCCCAGUAGUGGGGGAUAGCCCGGCGAAAGCCGGAUUAAUACCGCAUACGACCUGAGGGUGAAAGCGGGGGACCGAAAGGCCUCGCGCGAUUUGCGCGGCCGAUGUGGAUUAGCUAGUUGGUGGGGUAAAGGCUUACCAAGGCGACGAUCCGUAGCUGGUCUGAGAGGACGACCAGCCACACUGGGACUGAGACACGGCCCAGACUCCUACGGGAGGCAGCAGUGGGGAAUUUUGGACAAUGGGGGCAACCCUGAUCCAGCCAUGCCGCGUGCGGGAAGAAGGCCUUCGGGUUGUAAACCGCUUUUGUUCGGGAAGAAAUCCUCUGGGCUAAUACCCCGGGGGGAUGACGGUACCGGAAGAAUAAGCACCGGCUAACUACGUG